rnacentral:rRNA from 1 species
UACGGAGGUGGCAAGCGUUACUCGGAAUUAUUGGGUGUAAAGGGCAAGUAGGUGGCCUGAUAAGUGAGGGUGAAAUCCUGCGACUCAAUCGCAGAAUUGCCUUUCAAACUGUUGGGCUUGAGUAUAGAAGAGGAAAACGGAAUUAGCAGUGUAAGGGUGAAAUCUGUAGAUAUUGCUAAGAACACCGGCGGCGAAGGCGGUUUUCUGGUCUAUUACUGACGCUAAAUUGCGAAAGCUAGGGUAGC